UACGUAGGGUGCAAGCGUUGUCCGGAAUUAUUGGGCGUAAAGAGCUCGUAGGCGGUCUGUCGCGUCGGCUGUGAAAACCCGGAGCUCAACUCCGAGCCUGCAGUCGAUACGGGCAGACUGGAGUUCGGCAGGGGAGACUGGAAUUCCUGGUGUAGCGGUGAAAUGCGCAGAUAUCAGGAGGAACACCGGUGGCGAAGGCGGGUCUCUGGGCCGUAACUGACGCUGAGGAGCGAAAGCGUGGGGAGCGAACAGG
rnacentral:rRNA from 1 species